GAUGAACGCUGGCGGCGUGCCUAAUACAUGCAAGUCGAGCGAACGGACGAGAAGCUUGCUUCUCUGAUGUUAGCGGCGGACGGGUGAGUAACACGUGGAUAACCUACCUAUAAGACUGGGAUAACUUCGGGAAACCGGCGCUAAUACCGGAUAAUCUUUUGAACCGCAUGGUUCAAAAGUGAGAGACGGUCUUGCUGUCACUUAUAGAUGGAUCCGCGCUGCAUUAGCUAGUUGGUAAGGUAACGGCUUACCAAGGCAACGAUGCGUAGCCGACCGGAGAGGGGGAUCGGCCACCCUGGAACUGAGACACGGUCCAGACUACUACGGGAGGCAGCAGUAGGGAAUCGUCCGCAAUGGGCGAAAGCCUGACGGAGCAGCGCCGCGUGAGUGAUGAAGGUCUUCGGAUCGUAAAACUCUGUUAUUAGGGAAGAACAGAUGUGGAAGUAACUGUGCACAUCGUGAGGGUACCUAAUCAAAAAGCCACGGCUAACUACGUG
rnacentral:rRNA from 1 species